ACCAUUUAUUCAGGAGACAGCUCAAAGUGUCUGCAAGCACCCAUUUCUAUUUCUUGCCCGUGCCCUGUACAGAAGAAGUCAGGCAUUUCCACAGGAGGGAGGCUUGGUACAAGGAGAGAGGUAGCAUCUGAAAAGCCGGCCCACAGGAAUGCCCAGAUCUGACAGGACCCGCAAGCAGUCUGCCACACCAACAGUGGGAUCUGCUGAGGUGGCCUUUCAGGGACAUCAGAGGACUGAGAUCUGUGUGGAGAAAUAAAUCAAAAGAGGUCAGAGAACUGGGGAACUGAAGCAGGGAUGCAAUGUACCCAUCUGCUCAUUGAGUUGCAUUACUACUGGGACCUGCAAAUGAAACACUUAAGAAAAUUGGGACAUGGAGCAUUUAUCACUCUUUCUCCAGCUUGUCUGGAAUAUGUCAUUUCCUACUUAGCCUCCCAUUUCACAGCUGUGACUUUUUUAUCAUGCUUUUUUCAAAAGGAAAAAGACUUAACCACCAUCCAGCCCCAAGUGGCCCCCUCUAGCUGGUCUCUCUCUCUUCCAGCUGUCCAUCUCUUGGUUUUAAUGAACUGAAGCCAUAACAAAGUCUGAACAACACAAGGGUAAUUCAGUACUGAAUUUCUUUCAGCAGUUCUAAUUCUUUUGGCCUUUACAGAGGCAUUGAACCAGAAACACACCUCAAAUGGGCAGAGGGUAAAACAACACAAACAAACAAGCUGGGGAAACAAUCUGCAAGGUUAAGAAAAGAUAACCUAAGCAUGUUCUUGGGAAAGUAUAGUGUUUUCCUCCAUCUCAAUGCACUCAUGGCCAGACAGGUCAGGACUGGUGGUACUGGGUAGCUCACCUAUAAAAACAAAGAUUCCCCUAUCAUUGAGUGCUAUGCUGUUACCACACAAUGCCUUUUCCUUUUUUGAAGUUCUUUCCACAACAAGUAAAAAUCAGCCUGGCUAAUUGACAUGUGCAUGUCUUUUGUCUUGAUUUGUAUUUUGUGUGCCAACAUACCCAUAAGAAAGCAGGACCUCCAAGAGGGUGUAAGAGCAUGCAAGACAGGGAGAGAGGAGAUGAGCAUGUGAAAAUGUGUAACAGACAACUCAGCGUGAGUAUGUGUGAGACAAAGAGGAAGAAGUUUUUUCUCAUCAUCAAUGUUACGUUAUGUUAGAAGAUAUCUUAUUUUUUUAAAGAACAGACAGAAUGACACAUGAUGAAGAAAUGAGGGUAACAGGGCAUUUCUUUUGUAUAACUGAUUUCACUGAUCUUUUUUAGUCAUACUGCUUGUGCAUGAGUUAGUUUGGAAAUGAUGAAGAGAAAUAACAGAUACGAUGACAACUCAGAAGCUUCUGGAAGGCUAUAUACAGGGUGGUCAACUUCCCUACCUUCUGGAAGUUAGACAUGGCAAGCCUGACAAGUGUGUGCAUCUUAUCUGAGGAAAAGAUGCCACCAUACACAGAACAAGCUGAGACUGCUGCAAAUCACUGCCCCGUGUGUGUGUGCGGCAGCUCUUGGCUCCCAGCAAAGCCAAACACAACAGGGAAGCUAAAAACUGCCAUCUCUUACAGAUACCAGUCAUAAAAUGCAGUGACUUUUAGUUGAUUGCUGGCCCAGCACUGUGUUGUUUAAAUCAGGCCAUCUUUUGGCAGUCCUAUGGCAAGCUGAUGGUUUCUAGGGUAGGGUCUGGACUCAGAUUUCUAAAGGUUAAUAUAUGUCACAAAUUUAUGUAUGUUACAAAUUUAAGUUGAUUUCACUGCUGUCCAAAAGAACAAGCAAUGCAAUGAACAGCUUUAACAUAGACCCACAACACACGCGGCUUAUGGCUAUGGGGUGGUAUCUGUGACUUUCCUGAUCUAAUAGGAAGUUGGGCUGAGAAACCACAUUGGAUGCUGAGCCUUGAUUUGCUGCUGUUACUGCAGGGUAUUAUCUUAAUAAUUACCUAAUAAAUAAUUACCUCUGUAAUCUGCAGGAAA